rnacentral:pre_miRNA from 1 species
AUCUGUACUCUUUAGUUACAGUUGUUCAACCAGUUACUAAUCUAGCGAACUGUAACCAGUUGAACAACUGAACCUGAAGGGUGCAAAGUGGAAGCAUU